rnacentral:misc_RNA from 1 species
CAUUCUCAAAAAGAACCCUUCUUGGUCUCGCGAUCGGGAAAGGCCUCUUUUUGGACUUUGGAGGCUAUUGCUGGUCCCCCCUUGAUAGCCAGCUCCUCUUAAAUGAAUUAGUAGGGACCACUUUGCCGACCCUAGACGUGAUAAGAUGUUUCUGCGUCUUGGGUAUUCGCUCUGUCCUUUGGAAACCUGCUUCUAACCGUCUUGUGAAAAGACAGCGUUCGAGCCUUUCUCGUUGAUCGGGCAAGGCUUGACUUGAUGAA